CCUACGGGAGGCAGCAGUGGGGAAUAUUGCACAAUGGGGGAAACCCUGAUGCAGCGACGCCGCGUGAAGGAAGAAGUACUUCUGUAUGGUAACCUUCAUCAGUAGGGAAGAAAAAGACGGCACCUGUCUAAGUAGCCCCGGCUAACUACGUGCCAGCAGCCGCGGUAAUACGGAGGGGGCAAGCGUUAUCCGGAUUUACUGGGCGUAAAGGGGGCGUAGGCGGUUUAGCAAGUCAGGAGGGAAAGCACGGGGCUCAACCCCGGGACUGCUUUUGAAACUGUUGAACUAGAUUGCAGGAGAGGUAAGCGGAAUGCGUAGUGUAGCGGUGAAAUGCGUAGAUAUUACGAAGAACACCGGUGGCGAAGGCAGCUUACUGGACUGUAAAUGACGCUGAGGCUCGAAAGCGUGGGGAGCAAACAGGAUUAGAUACCCCUGUAGUC
rnacentral:rRNA from 1 species